rnacentral:snoRNA from 1 species
CCCCUACAGAUUCCUUACCCACCAGAUCAAAACACUGGUCUGUGUGGUUCUAAAAGGAUGGAGAUUAGGACUGAAAGUUGUUUGUGACACACAAGCGUGUUUCAGAGAACA